GGGUGUUCUCUCAAUAACUGUGCCGCUCACUACACACCCAAUGCAGGUGACACCACAGUGUUGCAGUACGAUGACAUCUGUAAGAUUGACUUUGGAACAUAUAAGUGGUAGGAUAAUUGACUGUGCUUUUACUGUCACUUUUAAUCCCAAAUAUGAUAUAUUAUUAAAUGCUGUAAAAGACGCCACUAAUACUGGAAUAAAGUGUGCUGGCAUUGAUGUCCCUCUGUGUGAUGUGGGAGAGGCCAUCCAGGAGGUAAUGGAAUCCUAUGAAGUGGAAAUCCACGGGAAGACAUACCAAGUGAAGCCGAUCCAUAAUCUGAAUGGACACUCAAUCGGGCCGUACAGAACACAUGCAGGGAAGACUGUGCCCAUCGUGAAGGGCGAGGAGGCAACGCGGAUGGAGGAAGGGGAAGUAUAUGCCAUUGAAACCUUUGGUAGUACAGGAAAAGGUGUUGUUCAUGACCACAUGGAGUGUUCACAUUACAUGAAAAAUUUUGAUGUUGGACAUGUGCCAAUAAGGCUUCCAAGAACAAAACACUUGUUAAAGGUCAUUAAUGAAAACUUCGGCACACUUGCAUUCUGCCGCCGAUGGCUAGAUCGCCUAGGAGAAAGUAAAUACCUGAUGGCACUGAAGGAUCUGUGUGACUUGGGCAUUGUAGACCCAUACCCACCACUGUGUGACAUUAAAGGGUCAUACACAGUGCAGUUUGAACACACCAUCCUGCUGCGUCCGACUUGUAAAGAAGUUGUCAGCAGAGGAGAAGACUACUAAACUUAGUCCAAAACCA